GUGGGGUAACGGCCUACCAAGGCGAUGACGGGUAGCUGGCGUGAGAGCGUGGCCAGCCACACUGGGACUGAGACACGGCCCAGACUCCUACGGGAGGCAGCAGUGGGGAAUAUUGCGCAAUGGGCGAAAGCCUGACGCAGCGACGCCGCGUGGGGGAGGAAGGCCUCAGGGUCGUAAACCCCUGUCAGGUGGGACGAACCACCGAUCGGUCAAUACCCGGUCGGUCUGACGGUACCACCAGAGGAAGCUCCGGCUAACUCCGUGCCAGCAGCCGCGGUAAUACGGAGGGAGCUAGCGUUGUUCGGAAUCACUGGGCGUAAAGGGCGCGUAGGCGGUCGGGUAAGUCGAGUGUGAAAUUCCGGGGCUCAACCCCGCGAACUGCAUUCGAUACUGCUCGACUAGAGAGAGGUAGGGGCGAGUGGAAUUCCCGGUGUAGCGGUGGAAUGCGUAGAUAUCGGGAAGAACACCGGUGGCGAAGGCGGCUCGCUGGGCCUUUUCUGACGCUGAAGCGCAAAAGCGUGGGGAGCAAACAGGACUAGAUACCCUGGUAGUCCACGCCGUAAACGAUGGGUACUAGGUGUUGGGAGGAUUGACCCUCUCAGUGCCGACGCUAACGCAUUAAGUA
rnacentral:rRNA from 1 species